UCUUUCUUUCUUUCUUUCUUUCUUUUGUCUUUUUGCUGUUUGAUAUUGCUUUUUGUUCUUUCUUUCCUUCUGUCUUUCAUCCUUUCCUUUUCUUUCUUACAUCCUUUUGCUGUUUUAUACUUCUAUUUGUCCUUUCUUAUUUCUUUCUUCAGUCCUUUUUUACUUAGUUUCAUACUUGAGGAGAAGAAAAAAGAUAGAAGAUUCUUCAGAUUCCUCUUUCAGCUUCCAGAUCUCUCAGCCAUAACAUGGCUCCCAGGUGGAGGGGUUGGGAGGGGGUGAUGAUAGGAAAAACAUCCUCCUAACAUGUUGCUAAUAAUCAGAAUCAGUCAGGUGGUUCCUGCUGCUUUGCUCUGAUAGAGUGCUGUCGUUAUAUGUGAGGGCAUCUUUGUGUUUGUUUGCUCUCGAAAACAUGAGGAUGUCCAUUUGGGGCACACUGUGUACCAAAUUCCAUAUGAAAAUUUCAUGUGGCAUGUGCCCCCAAAUCAGUCAGUAGUUGCUGCCCUCUGUGCUGUAGAAGAAGACCUCUAAGCUUACAUUUUGGAUGUGUCAUUUGUAUCUAUAUGUUCACGUACAAUAGAACUGCACAGUGGGAUGUGAUAUAACACCUAAACAUUAGCAAAAGGGACAUUCUUUAAGACGAGAAAAAUAAAGGGAGUGAAGAAUGAGUCCAAGGAGUCGCUUUGGGCCACUCCAGAAAUACUAUUAUAUAUAUUUGCCAGAAAUAAAUCCACUGACCUUUAUUGCGGCUGUGAGAGAGUGUCUUACAUGAGCAGUGAUACAGAGUGCUGAUUCCACAGAGAUCCACGUGUCCACACACGCUCACACACACAAUUCUAUAGUGAGUGUGAUCAAAUCCCAGCACACAAACACACUGUAAACCCGUACACUGUUAGCCCCUCAGGAAAGGACAGGGAGCAGAGAUGAGGUGGGGGAGAAAAAGACCCUCCCAUGGGCACCUGACAACAGCUGUGUGAAACAGGACAAUGAAAAGAGAAAGAAAUCAUAAAGCCAAAUUCAUUGUCAUAAAUAUAGUAUCUACAGAUGUGAAAAUCCACGGAAAAGAGGCCAAUCUGUGGCAGAACAUAUAACGCAGAGUCUACAAAGAAAUGUGUAUGUGUGUGCUAGAUUUGUAGCUGUGGAGAAGGUCCAGUUUACACCUUCGCACAGGAAUACGAUAACAGUUAUUUAUUUAGUCUUCACUGGAGUAUCAGUAAUAUUUUUCCAAUUCAUUCCUGCAGGGCUAAUCAUACUCCUCGUGUGCAAGUCAAAUUGCUUUUCCCGGCCUCUGUUCCUGCUGUACAAAGGUUUUGCUGCAGUAUGGAGCACAUCAAUGGAAAGCUGUAGACGAACACUGCAGGGAUGCAGGGAGAAAGAAAAAGAAGAAAAAAACAAAAGCAAAUAGUGUGAGAAAGGUGGAAAAAGCAGCAAAUCCAUUUCCUCUGGAGAGGAGGUGCAGGAGGUGACCUCCUUCAACCAGAAAAACCCACAGUCCCUCCUGAGAGUUCACCACUGCCACACUGUCGCUAGUGUCAACAUGUCUGUCCAGGUCCUCGUUUCCUCCACAGGGAUACAAAGCUACACAAAUCUACAUAAGAGUCACCUGGAGAGAGCAUCUGUUUCCUGAAAAACAGCUUUACUGUGAUGAGAAUGGGGUUUCCCAGGAGAGCACAAUGAUGGGAUGUGUCUUCAAACUCCUUCGAUAUUAGUCAGACAUGUAGCAAAAGCUAUCUGGUCUUCAGAUUAAUAUGACUGAAUCUUUCUUUUCUUCCUUUCUUCAUCACUUAAAUGGAAUCUCUGACCAAAUCAUUUACCUUGUGCCUGCCUCAGAUGGGAACAAAGACCAUUCAGUAAUCACAAAUGUUUUGUUCAUUAAAAGCCUUUUUACAAAACAAGCUGAAAACUCCACAGCUAUAAUGUGGAAAACCAUGCAAUGUGGAUCAGACUGUAACAUCUGCAAGACUAACAGACUCUGUCAUCUGUAGACUGACCCUGUGUCACACAUAAACAGACUGAGUGCUGAAAUAGGGUGGGCAUCACUCUAAGGGGCCCCGUCACUCGUCGAGGCCUGGGUACAGACUCCAGAGGUCAUGCUGAAGAAGAGAGGGAUAUGAUUGUUUGUCCAGCUGUCUGCUGAAGUUGAGAAGGACAGGUGACGGGUGGUGGAUUUGGUGGGAGUAGCUGUGACCUUCUUCAUAAAGAAAAACGAAGACUGAACAAAGGAUUCCUCUUGCAUCAUACAUCGGAGGGGGUUUAUGUGUGAGAGAAAAAGAGAGGGAGACACUGUCAGCCGCCCUCAUACACGAUAGGAUGGGCUGUGUAUUGUUUUCACAAGCUGCAGGUCUUAGUAUCCUCUCUUCUUGUCCACGUCCUCGGUCCUUGUCUCCUCUACUCUAAUACCAUCCUCAUCCAUAGAAAAACUAAUCCUCUCAAAGCCUUGCCGUCCCACAGGAACGCCAUUUCUCCUUGUCUGUCUUUGCCUGCAAAUCCCUCCUGUCUUUUUUUAUUUGCAUUGUAACCCACAUCUCUAGAAUAAACAACAGUAGACUUUAGGUCUUCUUUUGA